rnacentral:rRNA from 1 species
GGUGACAGCCCCGUACACAAAAAUGCACAUACUGUGAGCUCGAUGAGUAGGGCGGGACACGUGGUAUCCUGUCUGAAUAUGGGGGGACCAUCCUCCAAGGCUAAAUACUCCUGACUGACCGAUAGUGAACCAGUACCGUGAGGGAAAGGCGAAAAGAACCCCGGCGAGGGGAGUGAAAAAGAACCUGAAACCGUGUACGUACAAGCAGUGGGAGCCUCUUAAUGGGGUGACUGCGUACCUUUUGUAUAAUGGGUCAGCGACUUAUAUUCUGUAGCAAGGUUAACCGAAUAGGGGAGCCGAAGGGAAACCGAGUCUUAACUGGGCGUUAAGUUGCAGGGUAUAGACCCGAAACCCGGUGAUCUAGCCAUGGGCAGGUUGAAGGUUGGGUAACACUAACUGGAGGACCGAACCGACUAAUGUUGAAAAAUUAGCGGAUGACUUGUGGCUGGGGGUGAAAGGCCAAUCAAACCGGGAGAUAGCUGGUUCUCCCCGAAAGCUAUUUAGGUAGCGCCUCGUGAAUUCAUCUCCGGGGGUAGAGCACUGUUUCGGCAAGGGGGUCAUCCCGACUUACCAACCCGAUGCAAACUGCGAAUACCGGAGAAUGUUAUCACGGGAGACACACGGCGGGUGCUAACGUCCGUCGUGAAGAGGGAAACAACCCAGACCGCCAGCUAAGGUCCCAAAGUCAUGGUUAAGUGGGAAACGAUGUGGGAAGGCCCAGACAGCCAGGAUGUUGGCUUAGAAGCAGCCAUCAUUUAAAGAAAGCGUAAUAGCUCACUGGUCGAGUCGGCCUGCGCGGAAGAUGUAACGGGGCUAAACCAUGCACCGAAGCUGCGGCAGCGACACUAUGUGUUGUUGGGUAGGGGAGCGUUCUGUAAGCCUGUGAAGGUGUACUGUGAGGUAUGCUGGAGGUAUCAGAAGUGCGAAUGCUGACAUAAGUAACGAUAAAGCGGGUGAAAAGCCCGCUCGCCGGAAGACCAAGGGUUCCUGUCCAACGUUAAUCGGGGCAGGGUGAGUCGACCCCUAAGGCGAGGCCGAAAGGCGUAGUCGAUGGGAAACAGGUUAAUAUUCCUGUACUUGGUGUUACUGCGAAGGGGGGACGGAGAAGGCUAUGUUGGCCGGGCGACGGUUGUCCCGGUUUAAGCGUGUAGGCUGGUUUUCCAGGCAAAUCCGGAAAAUCAAGGCUGAGGCGUGAUGACGAGGCACUACGGUGCUGAAGCGACAAAUGCCCUGCUUCCAGGAAAAGCCUCUAAGCAUCAGGUAACAUCAAAUCGUACCCCAAACCGACACAGGUGGUCAGGUAGAGAAUACCAAGGCGCUUGAGAGAACUCGGGUGAAGGAACUAGGCAAAAUGGUGCCGUAACUUCGGGAGAAGGCACGCUGAUAUGUAGGUGAAGCGACUUGCUCGUGGAGCUGAAAUCAGUCGAAGAUACCAGCUGGCUGCAACUGUUUAUUAAAAACACAGCACUGUGCAAACACGAAAGUGGACGUAUACGGUGUGACGCCUGCCCGGUGCCGGAAGGUUAAUUGAUGGGGUUAGCGGUAACGCGAAGCUCUUGAUCGAAGCCCCGGUAAACGGCGGCCGUAACUAUAACGGUCCUAAGGUAGCGAAAUUCCUUGUCGGGUAAGUUCCGACCUGCACGAAUGGCGUAAUGAUGGCCAGGCUGUCUCCACCCGAGACUCAGUGAAAUUGAACUCGCUGUGAAGAUGCAGUGUACCCGCGGCAAGACGGAAAGACCCCGUGAACCUUUACUAUAGCUUGACACUGAACAUUGAGCCUUGAUGUGUAGGAUAGGUGGGAGGCUUUGAAGUGUGGACGCCAGUCUGCAUGGAGCCGACCUUGAAAUACCACCCUUUAAUGUUUGAUGUUCUAACGUGGGCCCCUUACCGGGGUUGCGGACAGUGUCUGGUGGGUAGUUUGACUGGGGCGGUCUCCUCCUAAAGAGUAACGGAGGAGCACGAAGGUUGGCUAAUCCUGGUCGGACAUCAGGAGGUUAGUGCAAUGGCAUAAGCCAGCUUGACUGCGAGCGUGACGGCGCGAGCAGGUGCGAAAGCAGGUCAUAGUGAUCCGGUGGUUCUGAAUGGAAGGGCCAUCGCUCAACGGAUAAAAGGUACUCCGGGGAUAACAGGCUGAUACCGCCCAAGAGUUCAUAUCGACGGCGGUGUUUGGCACCUCGAUGUCGGCUCAUCACAUCCUGGGGCUGAAGUAGGUCCCAAGGGUAUGGCUGUUCGCCAUUUAAAGUGGUACGCGAGCUGGGUUUAGAACGUCGUGAGACAGUUCGGUCCCUAUCUGCCGUGGGCGCUGGAGAACUGAGGGGGGCUGCUCCUAGUACGAGAGGACCGGAGUGGACGCAUCACUGGUGUUCGGGUUGUCAUGCCAAUGGCACUGCCCGGUAGCUAAAUGCGGAAGAGAUAAGUGCUGAAAGCAUCUAAGCACGAAACUUGCCCCGAGAUGAGUUCUCCCUGACUCCUUGAGAGUCCUGAAGGAACGUUGAAGACGACGACGUUGAUAGGCCGGGUGUGUAAGCGCAGCGAUGCGUUGAGCUAACCGGUACUAAUGAACCGUGAGGCUUAACCUU